UGAAACCAAAGUGAGAUGAUGAUUAUUGCGUGGUUUAAAAAAAUUAUGAUUAUUCCGUUGCAUGUUUGCAUUUUUAACUACCUUGAGGAAGGGUUAUACUUCACACUUUUCAAAGGUAGCUCUUCUGCUGCACUAUAUAAUCUACAUACACUUGACAAAUGUGUGAGGAGAAAAUUCAUGCAAACAUGAUGAGCUGUAUAACGAUGCUUUUUUCUUAAUCAAGCAAUCAAAUUUAAAGCUCACUCUCAUUCACCCAUAACUGUGUAAAAGCGUUGAAAGUAACAUCCACACGCUUUCUUCCUUAUUAAAGAUACUUGGUGUUUUUAUUUACAUCAUAUAAGACAGAAGAUGUGCCCUUAAUGUCAGUCAGAAACCAACAGCUGUCAUCAAGCCCCUUCCAUAAACAGUACACACCUGAUUCCAACAGCAGGCUCAAACAGGGUUCAUGUCCAGGUAUGUUUACAACAUGACACCAAAGUACCAAACACGGACCAGAUUUUUUUUUUACACAGGAACGUGAUGAUCAGUCACUGGUUCCCAGAGUGAGGCCUGAGAGAGAUCCCAGUAGAUUGACGGAUUUUUAAAUGUCACAAAUAAUUCCUAAGUUUUAAAAUAAGCUGGUGAACAAACGCUAUGGAAGCUACUAUUCUGAGUGGAGUAAUGAGCAUCUUUUCGGAGAGCUGAAUUUUCUCGUGGACCCUGGACAUGUAUGACAAGCAUCAGCCAUGUUUGUUUCUGCUGUUAAAGCCAGGCUCAUGUUGAACAAACAGGGAGCAGAUUUCUAUCAGCCCAUACUGUAAAUCAGCGGGGAUGAAGUUGAUCUUGGCAACAAGACAGUUUAUAACAAUGUUCUGCAAAAAACAUGGUAAGCAAUUUUAUUUUUUCGAUUUAAAGAAAAUGACAGUGUCAUGCUGAAUCAGUUGGAGAAAAUGUGUCACAAUCAAAGAAAAUCCUUCAAAAUAAGACGUGAAUUGAAAAAAUUACAAUAGUGCCUACAUUUUUUUUGCAACUCUUCAACAAAAAAGAUAUGACUUUAGGGUGUGAAGGUUUUGUGGGACAUUGGUAUGCCUUUAGAUGGCACACAGACUGACAAAGUAUCUGGCUGAAAUAGAAAAAGGACAACAAAGCAGAGAAAAUGUCAAAUCAUUUUGGGAAUUACAGUGAAAAAAUCCGAUAUAU
ensembl:lncRNA